rnacentral:rRNA from 1 species
AUUGAACGCUGGCGGCAGGCCUAACACAUGCAAGUCGAACGAGUGGCGGACGGGUGAGUAAUGUCUGGGAAACUGCCUGAUGGAGGGGGAUAACUACGGGAAACGGUAGCUAAUACCGCAUACCAUCAGAUGUGCCCAGAUGGGCUUAGCUUGUUGGUGGGGUAACGGCUCACCAAGGCGACGCUCACUAGCUGGUCUGAGAGGAUGACCAGCCACACGGGAACUGUGACGCGGGCCAGACUCCUACGGGUGGCAUCGGUGGGGAAGAGUGCAGAAAGGGCGCAAGCCUGAUGCAGCCAUGCCGCGUGUAUGAAGAGGGCCUUCGGGUUGUAAAGUACUUUCAGCGGGGAGGCGUUACCCGCAGAAGAAGCACCGGCUAACUCCGUGCCAGCAGCCGCGGUAAUUC